AUUGAACGCUGGCGGCAGGCCUAACACAUGCAAGUCGAGCGGAGCGGCGGACGGGGGCGUAAUGCUUAGGAAUCUGCCUGGUCGUGGUGGAUAAAGUCCGGUAACGGGAGCUAAUACCGCAUCCUCUCAGAUGAGCCUAGGUCGGAUUAGCUAGUUGGUGGGGUAAAGGCCUACCAAGGCGACGAUCCGUAACUGGUCUGAGAGGAUGAUCAGUCACACUGGAACUGAGACACGGUCCAGACUCCUACGGGAGGCAGCAGUGGGGAAUAUUGGACAAUGGGCGAAAGCCUGAUCCAGCCAUGCCGCGUGUGUGAAGAAGGUCUUCGGGUUGUAAAGCACUUUAAGUUGGGAGGCGUUACCAACAGAAUAAGCACCGGCUAACUUCGUGCCAGCAGCCGCGGUAAUUC
rnacentral:rRNA from 1 species